rnacentral:rRNA from 1 species
CAGCAGCCGCGGGAAUACGAAGGGGGCUAGCGUUGUUCGGAUUUACUGGGCGUAAAGGGCGCGUAGACGGACUGAUAAGUCAGGGGUGAAAUCCCAAGGCUCAACCUUGGAACUGCCUUUGAUACUGUUUAUCUUGAGUUCGAGAGAGGUAAGUGGAACUGCGAGUGUAGAGGUGAAAUUCGUAGAUAUUCGCAAGAACACCAGUGGCGAAGGCGGCUUACUGGCUCGAAACUGACGCUGAGGCGCGAAAGCGUGGGGAGCAAACAGGAUUAGAUACCCCUGUAGUCCCUGUCUCUUAUAC